UCCCAUGUGGCUCAGCUGGUAAAGAACCCACCUACAAUGUGGGAGACCUGGGUUCAAUCCCUGGGUUGGGAA
rnacentral:tRNA from 1 species